GACCUUUGGCCGGCGAUGCUAUACAUGCAGUCGAACGAGUUCUGAUUAUUGAAAGGUGCUUGCAUCUUGAUUUAAUUUUGAACGAGUGGCGGACGGGUGAGUAACACGUGGGUAACCUGCCCUUAAGUGGGGGAUAACAUUUGGAAACAGAUGCUAAUACCGCAUAAAUCCAAGAACCGCAUGGUUCUUGGCUGAAAGAUGGCGUAAGCUAUCGCUUUUGGAUGGACCCGCGGCGUAUUAGCUAGUUGGUGAGGUAACGGCUCACCAAGGCAAUGAUACGUAGCCGAACUGAGAGGUUGAUCGGCCACAUUGGGACUGAGACACGGCCCAAACUCCUACGGGAGGCAGCAGUAGGGAAUCUUCCACAAUGGACGCAAGUCUGAUGGAGCAACGCCGCGUGAGUGAAGAAGGCUUUCGGGUCGUAAAACUCUGUUGUUGGAGAAGAAUGGUCGGCAGAGUAACUGUUGUCGGCGUGACGGUAUCCAACCAGAAAGCCACGGCUAACUACGUGCCAGCAGCCGCGGUAAUACGUAGGUGGCAAGCGUUAUCCGGAUUUAUUGGGCGUAAAGCGAGCGCAGGCGGUUUUUUAAGUCUGAUGUGAAAGCCCUCGGCUUAACCGAGGAAGUGCAUCGGAAACUGGGAAACUUGAGUGCAGAAGAGGACAGUGGAACUCCAUGUGUAGCGGUGAAAUGCGUAGAUAUAUGGAAGAACACCAGUGGCGAAGGCGGCUGUCUGGUCUGUAACUGACGCUGAGGCUCGAAAGCAUGGGUAGCGAACAGGAUUAGAUACCCUGGUAGUCCAUGCCGUAAACGAUGAAUGCUAGGUGUUGGAGGGUUUCCGCCCUUCAGUGCCGCAGCUAACGCAUUAAGCAUUCCGCCUGGGGAGUACGACCGCAAGGUUGAAACUCAAAGGAAUUGACGGGGGCCCGCACAAGCGGUGGAGCAUGUGGUUUAAUUCGAAGCAACGCGAGAACCUUACCAGUCUUGACAUCUUUUGAUCACCUGAGAGAUCAGUUUCCCCUUCGGGGCAAAUGACAGUGUGCAUGGUGUCGUCAGCUCGUGUCGUGAGAUGUUGGGUAGUCCCGCACGAGCGCACCCUAUGACUAGUGCCAGCAUUAGUGGCAACUCUAGUAGACUGCCGGUGACCACGAGAGGUGGGGAUAGACGUCAUCAUCAUGGCCUAUGACCUUGGCCUCACACACCCGUGUCUUCACAAUUGGAGAUGUGUGUUAU
rnacentral:rRNA from 1 species